rnacentral:rRNA from 1 species
UACGAAGGGGGCUAGCGUUGCUCGGAAUUACUGGGCGUAAAGCGCACGUAGGCGGGUCGUUAAGUCGGGGGUGAAAUCCUGGAGCUCAACUCCAGAACUGCCUUCGAAACUGACGAUCUUGAGUUCGGGAGAGGUGAGUGGAACUGCGAGUGUAGAGGUGAAAUUCGUAGAUAUUCGCAAGAACACCAGUGGCGAAGGCGGCUCACUGGCCCGAUACUGACGCUGAGGUGCGAAAGCGUGGGGAGCAACAGGAU